rnacentral:rRNA from 1 species
AUUGAACGCUGGCGGCAGGCCUAACACAUGCAAGUCGAACGGUAACAGGAAGCAGCUUGCUGCUUCGCUGACGAGUGGCGGACGGGUGAGUAAUGUCUGGGAAACUGCCUGAUGGAGGGGGAUAACUACUGGAAACGGUAGCUAAUACCGCAUAACGUCGCAAGACCAAAGAGGGGGACCUUAGGGCCUCUUGCCAUCGGAUGUGCCCAGAUGGGAUUAGCUAGUAGGUGGGGUAACGGCUCACCUAGGCGACGAUCCCUAGCUGGUCUGAGAGGAUGACCAGCCACACUGGAACUGAGACACGGUCCAGACUCCUACGGGAGGCAGCAGUGGGGAAUAUUGCACAAUGGGCGCAAGCCUGAUGCAGCCAUGCCGCGUGUAUGAAGAAGGCCUUCGGGUUGUAAAGUACUUUCAGCGGGAGGAAGGGAGUAAAGUUAAUACCUUUGCUCAUUGACGUUACCCGCAGAAGAAGCACCGGCUAACUCCGUG